AGUAUGGUCGUUUAAUUUUGCUAUAUACAUACUAUCCAUAAGACCUUGUAAGAGGUACCCAGGCCCCCUGGGCCAUCACGAUGGGUAUCUCGUAAAACUCUGAAGUGUGUAUGUAUGGUGUGAGGGUUGUCAGACACUCGUUUGGAUAAGUGAACUUCUGAUUGUAAUUCUGGUCUUCCUUGUCGGUCUCCUUUUGUGUAGUAGUAGUAGUGGUGAAGUUGAUAUAUGAUUUGAGUCUCGCCUAUUGCCAGAACUGCAUACAUCCAAAAUUCCAAACCCCACCUGUGAUUUGGCCCAUUAUGUGAUAACACAAGUAUCCCUAUCCUUUUCUGUCCGUGCUGACCUAACUAUUCGCUGCUCUAUUUGGACCUAUGUGCGCCUUGGUUUGAGGCCCUGGCUGCAGAUGCUUUGGCAUCGCCGGCAGCCAAUUAAUUGGCUGUCACUUGGUUGGCUGCCAAUAUCCAUGUGCCAAGUAACCAGGGAUACCAAUUGGUUUGAGACCAAAUAGCUGCCUUGUCUUUGUCUGUGAUAAAAAAAUGGUCUUUGCUUAUCAGGGCCAUGGCACACACCAAACCGUGGACAUCAUCUUCAGCAUUAUAUAGUUAACAAAUGAUUAACAGCCCAUUCCAUCAAAGUAAUCUAUUAACAAAAAAGUUCAUUGCAGAUAAAUUAAGAGUCAGCUACAUAACUAAAAGUAACUCAAGAGAAUCCAUCAGUCCACAGUUGCAUGAACCGCAAGCUAGAUCAUAGCACCAUACACAGAAGCUUGAACAUAUUGUGGCAGUCUGCUGGAGCUUAGAUUAUGACCCCAAUAAAUUCCGAAUGUUCGGAAUUUGACGAUGGCAAAUUGAACACUUUCGAUGGCAAUUUUAGUGACACGAGUACGGCAAGAUUAGUUGGCAAGCAUGGCAACUCCUUGCUCAAUGUAUUUUCUGCCAGAAAUUACCGUGCGUGUCAACUAAACUUCCAUCCUCGCGUCACUAAAAUUACCAUCGAAAACGUUUGAUUUGCCAUGGUAAAAUCCCGAACGAUACGGGAUAUAUCAUUUCCAGAGAUUAUACUCCUAGAUUAAUAGUACAUCAACAAAACCUUGAAAGUUGAAACCCUGAAGCGCAUUAGAUUUCUUUUAGACGCGUCCUUCAGAGUAAAAAGUGUUCAAAGACCCGAGUGUUAAGUGUCCUCAGCAAGCCACAAAGAAAAGUAUAGUAUUUUGUUCCGGCUUAGCAAUGCAGCCAGCUAACUCAAGCAUCCUACUUGCUGCCAAUGUCAGAGACUCAACCCAGAUCCUAUUUGGCGCCUCAAGCACCAGAUAUAGGCAAUUUCGCUACCUGGCGCACACCCUCCCAACACUACGUGACAAAUAGGCCGGCCCAUCUUGAUUAUUUCCCACAGUUUUCUACUGGUUUCUCUGGUUUUUUUUCUUACAUUCUUUCCUGGCAUGGGUUUUACUCGGUUUUCGUUUUCGUUGAUUAUUUCCCAUGUUGAUUAUUUCUUUUUAAUUUCCUUUUCCUUUUAGUUUUCUUUCUUUUUCAAAUGUGUGAAAAAAUUUCAAAUUCAAAAAACUUUUCACGUUCAUGAACUUUUUCAAAAUUUUGUGAUCUUUUUGAAGUUUAUAUUUUUUCAAAUUUAUGAACUUGUAUUGUUUUUGCGAACUUUUUCCAUGUUACAAACAUUUUCAAAACUCGCUAACAUUUUCAAAUUCCUGAAUUUUUUCCAAAUUUCUCAACUUCUAAAUUCAUGAAAAAACCAUAUGCAUGAAAUUUAAGAUUGAACUUUUUUUCAAAUUCGAGAAUUUUUCCAAUCUUUAUGAUUAUUAUUUUUCAAAUUCCAUGAACCUUUUCAAGUUUCACAUUUUUCCCAAAUUCGUGUGCUUUCAAAUUCAUGAAACUUUUCUUAAAUUCAUGAACUUUUUCUCAAAGUCGUGAAAUUUUAAUCAUUUUUAUGAACUUUUACAAGUUUGCAUUCUUUUUCAAAAAGUUGAACUCUUUAGAUUUACAUUUUUAAAAUUUUAUGAACUUUAUUCAAAAGUCAACAGUCAGGUCAGCAAGUCAAUCAGUCAACCAGCCAACCAGCGAGAUUUUUGUUGAGGGGCGAGAUGUGAGCGAGUGUCUCGUUCGAUCGAGCAAAGAUUUAAUGGGCUAGCCCACUAGGCUUGCUUUCGAGCGCCAGUAGGUUUAACCGACGUUGAGAACCUCGUUUAGGAGCACUCGAGACUCAAUGCGCUUUAAGGAUUAUCAUUACGGUUUGUAUUCCGCGAUGAGCUUCCAUUGCUCCCCAAUUGUUAAAUGUUAGAUGGGCUUUAGGUCUAUAUAACAAAAAGUUCGUGGAUAAAUCUCGGAAGGCCAUGUGGGGUUCCAUGACAUGACACGAAGGAAAGUUCAGUACCACCUCGAAAGUGGAGGAGAGUUAAGAUCAACAUAUAAAGGAUUAUCUUCCAAAUAUGAGAAGAGCAAUGGCACAUGUGUGCUUCUCUCUCGCCCGUGUCGUGUUCCGUGAACUGCUUUCAUUAUUUUGUAUCAUACUGCAUUUUUUUUUCCAAGAUCAAACCUUGCACAAUUGACCAAGUAUAUCAAAUAAUGACAUAAAUAACAUCCAAUAAAUAUAUGUGAAAAUAUGUCUCGUGAUCUAUCUAAUUACAUUUAUUUCAUAUCGUAGAUAUUUUGGCUGUAAAUUUAGUCGAAGUUUACGAAAGUUGAUUUAAAGAAAAAUAGUACUCCCUCCGUAAAGAAUUAUAAGAGUGUUUAGAUCACUAAAGUAGUGAUCUAAAUCUUUUAUAUUUCUUUACACAGGGAGUAGACACUAUGGCUCCAGUAGGGGAGCAGCGACAGCGGUGCGUCGACCGCUCGUUCUGGCGGCAACAGUGGUCGUUCGGUGGUCUCAGAAUCAUGAUGUAAUUUUCUAUUAUGUUUGAGAUGCCUUGUACUUCCAGUGAACUUUUAUAAUAGAUCUGAUCAUUUUCACAAAAAAGAAAAGAAAUAGAUGAAGUAGCAUAUAGAUCAGAUUUGGGAGUGGGCAAAACAUGCCCAAGCUAGAAAUUUAAAUGCAUGGCACAUCUCAUAAAAUCAUAAUUUAUAUUUAAACUACCCUUUUAAGCAACACAACCAGGAAGAGCUAAACCGAAGCAUACCACUACAGGAAAAAUGAUAUAUGCCAAGUGUAUUUUGUCAGGCACUCCGCAAACAAGCCCUUUGUCGAGUGUAGCAGCGAUGACACUCUUCAAGAAAAUGACACUUGACAAAUAGGUGCUUUGCCAAGUAUUACACUCGGCAAACCAGGGUCUUUACUCAAGCUGGCAGUGGGGAUUACACAGGUGGGUAUUAGAAUCCCAUCCCCAUCCCCAUACUCGCCUACGGGGAUAAAGAGUUUGCCAUCCCCAUCCCCAUCCCCAUCGGGUUUUCAUCCCCAUGAGAAAACUCAUAUACGCAAUCAACAACAGUCUUCAAUAGCAUUUCAGUAGAAAAAAUAGCACUUCAAGAUAAUAAAUGAUAUGUUGUUGCUAGGUUAAGGAUUUUUUUAUGGCUUAUUGGGCCAAAGAGGUGGGAUGGGCGGGAAUUUGGAUAGGUAAGGGUAGUAAUUACCUACAAUCUACUAAUUGUAGAGCCCGAUAGCCCACAUAUAAGGCCUUCACGGGCAAGGAGGAUAACAGGCACGGGUAAUGCUAUCCCAUCCUCCUCCCCAUCCCCAUCCCCGUCUUGCACGCUGGGUAGGGUAUUUGACCCACCAACUUCCCCGUAGGCAUUAAAGUUGGCACAUUCCCCAUCCCCUAAUAGUGUAAUCACCCACGGGGACGCAGGUAACAAUUAGCCGUUGCCAUCUUGAGUCUUUACAGUAUUUUUUAUAGGACACUUGACAAAUAAUUGAAAAGCAAUAAAAUGCAUGUGUAUAUUUGGAUUUUGAAGAGCAGACCUCCAAGAAUGACAAAUUGAAUAUUAUUCGAUAAAUAUGAUAAAUAGGAAAUGCAAUUCAUGUCUUCAAAUCAGCUAAUGGUUCGAAAAUGUGUUUUUUUUCAUUAGUAACACAAUGUAAUGUGUUCCAUGUGGGAAAAUUAGCGAUGUCCUAUAUUAAAAGUUCUUACUUUGUUUAAGCAAUUAAGUGCAUUUUAGGCAUUUAACAGAUAUAGUUUCAUUUUAAACUACUCCCUCUGAGUGAUCUAAAAGGUCUUAUAUUACUUUACAGAGGAAGUAGAAGUGCAUGAAAAGUUGACCAAAACGGGUUAAGAAUCUUAUUUGUGUUCUCCAGUAUGUUUUUAGGCCUUAUACAAGAAAAGAAAAUGAGUUCCAAAUAUUCUAGUGUCAAGACUCGACCCCGACCAUGGAGCUUAUUAUUUUUUCAAUUUUCAAAAAUACAAACAAAGUCUGGAAAACAUGAAACCCCGUGUGGUCUCAUGAUAUGAUCCCUAUAUGUUGUGGUAAAAUUUUGAGAAGGUUCUCAAAAUUUGUGAUGUGCAUUGCUUGGAAACUAAAGCAUCUCUAAGUAAGAACCAUGGUUUCGAGAGAAAAUACGUCGGACUUAAAGGCGAAGUGUCAGUUGCUUCAUUUUUUGGUCUUGAAAGUUCUUCUACAGUCAACAUAAAUCAUCAGAUGCUGCAUGUAAAAUUUUGGGAUUUUUAGGGGCUUGUUUACUAUACUUAAGUCAUUAAGUGCAUUAAAAAGUGGAGAAAAUUGGGUUGAGAAAUCUUAUCUAUGUUCUUGAGUCUAUGUUUAUGCACUACAAAAAAAAGACACAUCCGUGACAUUUUGGGGCGAACGAAAAAAAAA
rnacentral:lncRNA from 1 species